GGUGGGUUAAUGUAGUGUUACUGUAUCUGUGGUGGGUUAAUAUAGUGUGGCUGUAUCUGUGGUGGGUUAAUGUAGUGUGACUGUAUCUGUGGUGGGUUAAUGUAGUGUGGCUGUAUCUGUGGUGGGUUAAUGUAGUGUUGCUGUAUCUGUGGUGGGUUAAUGUAGUGUUGCUGUAUCUGUGGUGGGUUAAUGUAGUGUUGCUGUAUCUGUGGUGGGUUAAUGUAGUGUGGUUGUAUCUGUGGUAGGUUAAUGUAGUGUUGCUGUAUCUGUGGUGGGUUAAUGUAGUGUGGCUGUAUCUGUGGUUGGUUAAUGUAGUGUUGCUGUAUCUGUGGUGGGUUAAUGUAUUGUUGCUGUAUCUGUGGUGGGUUAAUGUAGUGUUGCUGUAUCUGUGGUGGGUUAAUGUAUUGUUGCUGUAUCUGUGGUCGGAUAAUGUAGUGUGGCUGUAUCUGUGGUGGGUUAAUGUAGUGUGGCUGUAUCUGUGGUGGAUUAAUGUAGUGUGGCUGUAUCUGUGGUGGGUUAAUGUAGUGUCGCUGUAUCUGUGGUGGGUUAAUGUAGUGUGGCUGUAUCUGUGGUGGGUUAAUGUAGUGUUGCUGUAUCUGUUGUUGGUUAAUGUAGUGUUGCUGUAUCU
rnacentral:lncRNA from 1 species